AGCCUCCUGGUGCUUACCACAAUCUGUUCUUACAUUGACUGUAUAGAAAGAGGAGGCAGAACAGGCUCUCCCUCAGGACUCAUCUUGCCUGGGCUGUAUUGUGAAUGGGGGGACAAGG
ensembl:snoRNA